rnacentral:rRNA from 1 species
UACGGAGGGUGCAAGCGUUAUCCGGAUUCACUGGGCUUAAAGGGUGCGUAGGCGGGCAAGUAAGUCAGUGGUGAAAUCUCCGGGCUUAACUCGGAAACUGCCGUUGAUACUAUUUGUCUUGAAUAUCAUGGAGGUAAGCGGAAUAUGUCAUGUAGCGGUGAAAUGCUUAGAUAUGACAUAGAACACCGAUAGCGAAGGCAGCUUACUACAUGUUCAUUGACGCUGAGGCACGAAAGCGUGGGGAGCAAACAGG